rnacentral:lncRNA from 1 species
CCACGCCCCCCAGGGCCACAACCCCACGCUCUGUGACCUCGGGUCUAGCCCCACCCCCACCUGUGUUCCUACAUCCACGCUCCCCACGCCCUGAAUCCCCAAGUCCACGCAGCCCGGGUCAGCUGUUCGCUGCUUCUUUCCUGUCAGUCCUUGGGCUUCGCUGAGGCGUUUUGGAAGCUUGCUGACCCCUCUCGUCUCGCUUUCCUUCAGAUGUGUUUUUCAUCCAUUCGCUGUGGAAGGGAUAUUAUGAAUAUUCAGGGAAAAGAUAGCCUGUGACCCCAACUGUCGAACUGUUUCAACGCAGCGAGCAGCAAAGUGAACAUGACCUACAUUGAAGCCUCCCAGGGGGAUCUGAAGUUGACAGGAAAUGUUCUCCAGUGUGACUCUGGAGAUUUGGGAAAGAAGUUGGAUCAAGGGUUGUUCAUACUGAGGUUUGGACUUGGGAAAGAAGUUGGAUCAAGAGUUGUUCAGACUGAGUCCCAGUGGACAGAAGUCCACCUGCCAUGUAUAGUCUGAUUGGGAAAGACCAUAGAGGAGGAAGUGGAAGUCACGCUUCUGGAGGAUCAACCAGGACCUGGUGUUCUGUGAGGUGCUGAAAUUUAACUGCCAUAAAAAUCUCCUGAAUCUUAUCUAUACUGACAGUUUUUAGAAGUGGGUUUCAGAGUUUUAUUUGUUAAACUGGAUGCCAGGAACACAGAGCUGCUGACUCGGGACAGCAGCCCCGAGUCAACUCGUUAGAUGGUCCUCCUUGUCCGUGGGUCCUUCUCGUCCUCGGGUCCUCCCCAUUCACGGGUCUUUCUUGUCUGUGGGUUCCCUUCCAUCCUGUGCGAUUAGCCAGUGGCCACUCUUCUGUGAUGUUAGAGGGUUGCUUCUGUGAUGGGAGGAAGUGGGAAUUAAUUGCCAGAGUCCCUGAAAUGAACAGUGUGACUUUCCCUUUAACCGGUCUCUCUGCACAGAAGACAUUUGGGUUCAUUGUUGUUAUUAUUUAAUAUCUGUUCAUUUGUUUACUUAUGUAUUUGGUUCCUCCUCUGGGUAGGGAACUAGCCAUGCUGCAAACACAUCCCCCCGCCACCCCACACAUACACCCUGACCCCCUGGACAAAGGCAUUCAGCAAUCAUUCCAAGGACCUUUGUCCUCCAUGCCAUUCAUUUCAUUUUAAUAAGUGCAAUUGAUCUGUAUAAGUAACUGUAUUUGGGGCUAUUGUUAUGGUGUA